CAAUAGCGUAUAUUUAAGUUGCUGCAGUUAAAAAGCUCGUAGUUGGAUUUCGGGUGGGAAUGGCCGGUCCGCCGUUUCGGUGUGCACUUGCUACGCCCACCUUGCUGCCGGGGACGUGCUCUUGAGUUCACGCUCGGGACACGGAGUCGGCGAGGUUACUUUGAGUAAAUUAGAGUGUUCAAAGCAGGCCUACGCUCUGAAUACAUUAGCAUGGAAUAACACGAUAGGACUCUGGCCUAUCUUGUUGGUCUGUAGGACCGGAGUAAUGAUUAAGAGGGACAGUCGGGGGCAUUCGUAUUUCAUUGUCAGAGGUGAAAUUCUUGGAUUUAUGAAAGACGAACUACUGCGAAAGCAUUUGCCAAGAAUGUUUUCAUUAA
rnacentral:rRNA from 1 species